CUUUUGAUUAUUUUAAGGUGUAUUCGAUUCCUGGGAAAAGCAAGAACUGGUAUAGCCUGUGUACCUUCAAUGCAGUUUGCCAAGGACAACGACCUCUGUCAGAGAACUGAGAAAGGGCUUGAGGUCAAAGUACUUGGAGGACCCCAGCAAUGUAGGCCUCUUCCUAGUCAGACAGAAUGGUUUGGGAGAAACGUCCACAGGAGAAACAUUCACUGGAGAGUAAAAACAUCCACUGAAGAAAGGCGAGUCAG